rnacentral:rRNA from 1 species
UGCCAGCCGCCGCGGUAAUACGGAGGGUGCAAGCGUUAAUCGGAAUUACUGGGCGUAAAGCGAGUGUAGGCGGCUACGUAAGUCGGAUGUGAAAGCCCUGGGCUCAACCUGGGAAUGGCAUUCGAUACUGCGUAGCUAGAGUCUGACAGAGGGAUGUGGAAUUCCGGGUGUAGCGGUGAAAUGCGUAGAGAUCCGGAGGAACACCAGUGGCGAAGGCGGCAUCCUGGGUCAAGACUGACGCUGAGGCUCGAAAGCGUGGGGAGCAAACAGGAUUAGAUA